UCUUCUAAUGGGUUAUCGGGAGGCCCGGCCCGGCCCGGCCCGGCCCUGGAUCGAGUCGGAAGAUCGAGGCCCGUGUGCUCCCCCGAAUUCAAUGUUGGGGGUUUGGAUACGUGUAAUAAAAUAUUCUUCUCCAAGGAGAUGUUAAAUCGAGCUAAGGCGGCGCACGCGCUGGCCGCACGAGUCGUUCUCCGCCUCCUCCCGCCUCUUCCUCGCCAUCAAGAUCGUCGCCCCCGCUUCCCUGAGGUAAUUUGCUCGCCUAGCCUUACCGCUGUCUGCAUGCUGCACGGUGCCUAACUAAUAUCUGAGAGGCUGGUGUUUACGGACUUGUUCAUCGUCUUUUUCAAGAGAAAGUGAUCCAUCAAAAUAUUCAUGGUCCUCCUGUGUGGCGCCGCCAAAUCCUAUGCAAGUAUGUUUUAUGUGAUCUCUUUCUUGUUAUGUGACUGUAUAAUCUUGCAGUUGAUCGGCACCAAAUCCUAUGCAAGAGUUCUCUAGUUGUAGCGUCAUGGUUGAUGCUUGUUGUUGUAUAUGACAUUUGAGCUCACACGGAGGACCAGAAGUACGUCGAAACUUCUCAUGGAAUCGUGUUGAUAAUAGGAGACAUUAAAGUUUGAGAUGUUCUGGCGUUUCUACUCUCACUCCACUGGUACGGUGGUGCAUACAAAUGUGGAACCGAGUUCACAGAAAAGUCUAAUUAGGCUCCUGGUCUCCUUAGCGAUCAAAAUUCGAUGUAUCUGUCAUCCUCAAAUGUGAUCGGGGCACGUUGGGCAUGAACUCCGAUUUAUGUCUUCUAAUUGUGGUGGACACUGUCCCAUGCAUCGUAGAGCCCGCUUGACAUCUAAAAACUCUCUACCAAGAAGAGCAGCAGCAGCAGCCGAACGGUAGAACGGUAGGUAGGUGCAAGGGAGCAUGUUUUGUAAACUGAUACUCUUGUUGUUGUUUAUGUAAAAUUGAAAUAGCCAAAGGCAAUUUGGCUGCUUUGGCUGUGUGUUAUUACAGCCUCAUUUGACGUUCCGAGAAAUGUAGAAAGAUAAUAAUUUGGUCGAUUCCAAAUACUUUGAACUUUAUGAUUUUG